rnacentral:lncRNA from 1 species
GAAAUUCCUUUUCCAGAGUUCUCACUUACUAAUUUGGCUAACAUUACCAAUGGUAACAGACCCCACGUAUCCGCCACAAUUGCUGUGAGUUGCAGAGGAAAAAGACUGGGAGGAAAUCUUCACUUUUCUUCUGCAACAGCAACCAACAGAAAUGAAAGAGCCAGGGGAUUUUGCAAAAUAUCAACUCCUGAGAACUAAGAAUGAGAGCCUUUCCUGCCAAGCCCAUUCUGUGCCAGUCAUCAUAAAAUACUAUGACCCUUCCUUCCAGAAGAACAAUGCGCUGUGAUCUUUGGCUACUCAAGCUUUACAUCAUCCAUAUUACCCUGCAGCAGGAACAGAUUGAUGGGUAUUUUCACUGCCCCCAGAGAGUUACCCUCUAAUCCUUCAUUUGCUGCUCCAGCACAAUUGCACGGAAGCAAUAGCAGGGAUAGUUAGAGUGCAUACAAUUGAUUCCAAUCCAUCCAUCACUUAAACUACUGUCUAGGACAUCAGGAGGCCACA